ACGCUCGACACCUACGGGAGGCAGCAGUGGGGAAUAUUGGGCAAUGGGCGCAAGCCUGACCCAGCAACGCCGCGUGAAGGAAGAAGGCUUUCGGGUUGUAAACUUCUUUUCUCAGGGACGAAGGAAGUGACGGUACCUGAGGAACAAGCCACGGCUAACUACGUGCCUGCAGCCGGGUAAUCUGAGCGGGCUGGCAAGGC
rnacentral:rRNA from 1 species